rnacentral:piRNA from 1 species
UGAUUGCAUGGCCAUGAUAACUUUUACCUU